rnacentral:snoRNA from 1 species
UUUUAAAGCAAUUUAAAAAUGGAAUCGAUCCGACUCUGAGGAUGUAUAUGCAGGAUCAAAUUGUUGUAGGAAUUCUUCGUUUAUGAUUUAUAC